UCUGCACCUAUAUGUCUCGUGUGGAUAAAAACAAUGAAGUUGUUGUUUCACGGAUUGAUUGUGUCAACAUCCAUGGAGUCCUUACCAUGUGCCAGUAACUGGGCAAAGUGCUGAGGACACAAAAGUAAAAAGGACAGCCUGUGUCCUCCUUCAGAUCUCGUGACCCUGGCAAGCGGGCAGCUGGGUCCCCGCAGGACAGAGGUCUGGGAGAAUUGCUGGUGUUUGCGCACGUGCAAGUGCCUGCAGACUGCAGAGUGCAAAGCCAAGAAGCGGCAGAGGAUGGAGACCAGAGGCAAAGCAAGGAUUCAGAUUAAUGGACAGCCCUGUCGGAGUCAAACAAAGACCCAGCCUGGGAAGCCAACACCAGCGGCCGCGAGCAUUGGAACACAGUCUGACCAGUUCCUGAGCCACCAGGCACCUUCUCUGAACGUCUGAACUAUCCGCCUCUUCCCUCAGAGCGGGCCUACAGGGACUCAGCAAGGCUGGGUGCUGGAGGGUCACUCUGUAGGCCUGGCCAGAGGGAGACCACACCACCCAAAGAAGCCACUCAACAGCCAGGGCUCCCCUGAGAGGUCACAACUGGUGACACAGGCCCUUCGCUGGGAGAGGCCAGCCCUACCCAGAACAGAAGGGCUCACUGCUCCAGCCUCCAGCCUUCAAUCCCAGCUGGAGCUUUUCAGCUCUAGUUUUUCCUCCAGGUUAUCUUCCCUCUGUGGCCUCCAGCGGGUCACCCUGUGAUGCUGCAGUUCCCCAGUCUUUGCAAACGGGGGAGAGAUGACUACUGACUUCCGCGAUGAUUCAUGCUGGUUGUUUACAGCAGAGAAGGAGGCAGUGCGGUGCCUGCACGUCUUGGAAUUAGCCGAGCUGUGAGGGUGCACCGAGGCCAGCACCGGGCUUCCCGGGUAUGCCAAAGCUGGAAUUGUGCUGCUGCCCUGCAGAGGAGCAGGGGGAGCGGGGAGCAGGGAUACAAAACCUUGCCUGUCAAGGAACGCAGUGUUCCUGGCCCUGUCUGGAACCUUCACAAAGCAGGUGGGAAGGGAAAGUGCAUGGAUAAGAUGGACUUCCCAAAACAGCUUCUGCCAAAUUAAAUAAAGAAUAUCCAGUUCCUUCUUUUUAAAUAUAUAUGUAUUAAAUUAUGAAAUAAUUUAAAUAUGUAGAAAAGUGCAGAAAUAAUAGAUCAAAGGUCCAAGUGCCCACUCAUCAGCUUUAACAUUUUGCUGUCUAUACUACAGAUUUUGUUAUUUUCAAAAACAAAAAUGCAAUCAGUCAAGCAAGCACACAGCACUUCCUGAAGGGAUUUGAUGUAGAGCAAUUGCAAUACCAAACGAGCCCACCUCCAGUUCUCUGCUGAACAGAUCCGCUCAUGAUGUUAUUUCCCUCACUCUGCCACCCCCGAGUCUCUUCUGUUGCUCUUAGGACACCAUGGCGAGAGCUCUGGAGUCCAGACUCCACUGUGGAGACCGACAUGGUUCCCUGAGCUCCCUGCUUGGUCUCCUGUCCUGCCUGGUCUCAAGUCCUACCUACAAAGACUGACAGCACUGUACUAAUGCAGCAGCUUCAAAUCACUGAGCAAGCAGCCCACUCCUUCCCGUCUCCUCCUGAGCCCACCUUCUCUCCACGCUCCCUUAUCCCAGGCUGUCCAUAGGUACCAUUUGGCUCCAAUUCUACAUCAUAAGUGUUUCUAUGAAUACAGGCUUUGUGGAGUGUUUAUUCAUAGGACAUUAAUCCCAGAGGGGAAUAAAAGCAGUGCCGUCCAUGACAUUAUCUGUGUUAGCCUUGGAUUGUCUGCUGUAAAAUGCUAAUUGCAGCCUCUGGAGUUGAGAAGGUGUUUGUAUGAAGCCUGAACAGGGAGCAGGAGGGCAGGCAGAAGAGGCAGCCCAGCCUUCUAGGAGCCAGGGCCCUCAGAGGAGGAGGAAGGCCUGGGGCCAGGCAGCAAGUGGACAUGGCACAGGGCCUGGUUCCAGAGCUGGGCCUGGGAGGGGGCCUUUGUACUGCCCAGAGGAGGGGCCACAGUGUCCCUCCAGCUACCUGGUCACUGGUUUUACCAAAGCUGGUAUCCAAACAUCCCAGGGGUCUCCUCAGAGCCCGUGCAGCUGAACAAACCCAUGUUUUUAAAAAUGAGAGUGACACCAGCCUGCCCCUCCUCCCAGUGCAGCGGGGUGUGAGGGUGUGCGGCGGGGUGUGAGUGCGCAGUGGGGAGCAGGGAGCCUAAAUCCUAGUACACAUGAUGUAUUUUGAGAUUCCAAGGAGCUCCUGGAUGUGCAUUCAAGGGUGGCAGUGUUUCAGGAGGGGCAGAUAGACGUGCAGGCAGCCACACCCUUUCCCCUCCCCCCUCCCCCAGCAAUUUGUUCCUUCUCAAGUUUGAGACACGCGAGUCUUGCAUCUGUGUCUCUGGAGCCGCCUACACAAACCAGCGCAGAGAUCACAGGGCUGGGACUGGCUGGCGACAGUUCACUCCCUCAACUCCAGAGGAGGAAAUGGAGCCAGAGGUCGUAAAACGAUGAUAGAAUCGAAAACAAGACCAUUUCUUUCUGCACCCCACACCCUUUUUACUUUCACACAUGCACACACACACACCCCACAUGCACACUCACACCCAUGUCCAGGAUGGCCGGACAGAGCCCCUCCCAGUCCUGCCAUUCAUUUUGCAUACAUGCUUGGCUGGCUAGUGGGCAGGAUUAUGUUUGACAAAACCUCCUUUUAAUCAAUCUGAUGCUUGCCAACCUAGGAGCUGACAACCGUGCAAAGCACCGGGCCAUGGGGCAGUGUUCCAUUUUGUUUCCUCUGGACAGCUGGCAAGAUGGAGUCCCUCGGAGGACUUAACCUAGUGCUUUCACGUCAAAGGAGAAAAAAGGAGUCAUUCCCCCAUACAACGUGGAAGACCCAAAGGUUCAGAGGACCCGUCAUCUGUGUAGAGUGGAUGGGCUCUUCUGACUGGGGGGUGUCUCGGCUCCAGAGCUCACCACUGUCCUGUACCUGGGGAAGAAGCAUCCAUGCAUAUAAAUUAGGCUGAUAAAAGUUUGCACCCUCUGACGUUCCAAGGGAGGGAUGAGAUACCAUCAGAAUCAAGUCCCUUGGGCUGGGCACGGUGGCUCAGGCCUGCAAUCUCAGCCCUUUGGGAGGCCGA